ACGCGAGAACCUUACCUGGCCUUGACAUUGAUAGAAUCCUGUAGAGAUACGGGAGUGCUAGCUUGCUAGAACUUGAAAACAGGUGCUGCACGGCUGUCGUCAGCUCGUGUCGUGAGAUGUUGGGUUAAGUCCCGCAACGAGCGCAACCCUCGUCAUUAGUUGCUAACAGUUCGGCUGAGAACUCUAAUGAGACUGCCUUCGUAAGGAGGAGGAAGGUGAGGACGACGUCAAGUCAUCAUGGCCCUUAUGGCCAGGGCUACACACGUGCUACAAUGGGGUGUACAGAAAGCUGCGAUACGGUGACGUGGAGCAAAUCUCAAAAACACCUCCCAGUUCGGAUUGUUCUCUGCAACUCGAGAACAUGAAGUUGGAAUCGCUAGUAAUCGUAGAUCAGCAAUGCUACGGUGAAUACGUUCCCGGGUCUU
rnacentral:rRNA from 1 species